CAAGGCUUCAUCAUUUGUCAAGGCUGGAACUGUCUUCAAACACCAGAAAAUUUCUCCCCAUAGACAGCUCUAUGUGUUCUUCACUCUACCCAAUAUUUGGAACCUGAACAGAACAGCCAACACAGAAAUUUCAGGAAUCCUUAGAUACUAUGCACAUACUUCUGAAAUAUCCAUCGGACAUACUGAUUCCUGACAUUUCUCACACAGCUUGCCUGGUGGGAGAAAAGACUUGUUGUUGCCAGCCUUUGGUAAGUAUAUGCUAAUACCUGGCUAAUAGAAGACCUGAAUUUGUAGCCUCCUUCAAAUAAGACUAUUUCUCACCUACUGUAUUUUUUCUGACACUUUUUCCUCAGAAGGAAAACAUGAAGUAAAGCUCCUGUCUGACAAAAAUUAGGACAAUGUCUAGAAUAGUGUCUGAUACAGGUAUUCACCUGCACACUAAUACAAUGAUAUUUCUAUUCUGUACUUGUCAAAAUGCAAUAAUAAAGCAAGCAGCAAUUUCUCCUUCAGGUGAUUUUCAGAAAAAGUUUUGCAGCCUGUUGAGAUGUUUCAAAGACGCUAUGGAGACCUUGAAAAUUUGUACUAAAAGUAAGACAGGUCAAAAGCUACGGAAUCCUUAAUACAGGAAGAGCUUUCAUAAAACCAAUCCGAACACUUAUCAUUGCUUUAAACAUAGAAAUAAAUUAAAGAUUUUUCAGAAAGCUAUACCUGCCCAAGUGCUGUGAUCUGAAA